GGUGGCUCAGUGGUAGAGCUCUUGCCUUGCUUGCAUGAGGCCCUGGGUUCGAUUCCUCAGCACCA
rnacentral:tRNA from 1 species